UAUGUGUGUUUAUAAGUGCGUAUAGUGAACCGCUCUGUGUGGUGCGUGCGUGCGAGCGAGUGUGUUGUGUUUGGUCCUUUUUUUCAUACACAUAUAUAUAUAUAUUUUUUUUUUUACAUUAUCUGUCGUACGGGUUUGGAAUUGGUUUUUAAGGUGUGUAUGUGUGAGUUCAUGAACGUGCGUGUGUGUGUAUGUAUGUACUGUGUUUGUGAUGCCCGGACGGACGAAAAUAUCGUCGUUGUAUAGAUCUGUGUAGCUAAGAGAACCAAAUUUCAAUUGAUAAAGAAAACUAGAGAAAACUGAAUUCGACAUAGCUAAAGUAAAUCGUUCGUUGCCGUAAUUGUUGAACACCGGGCGUUUUUUAAAUUGUUGUCCCCGCCGAAGUGCAUUUAUUGAUAAGUUCGGAGGAAUAAAUAAUAUUUCACGCAUACACACACGCACGUAAAUAUAAUUCCAAUUAGAUAGUUUAACUCGCCGCCGGACAGUGGACCAACGCGGACCGUUCAAUUUGUAUGGUUCCUGUGUGCUAACGAAAAUAUCGUUCCGUAUGUGUUGGCUAGCUGUAUCUACAAUUUAAUAUUCAUUUUUAAAAUUUAAAUAUCCUUAUCGUUGGCUCGGCUACGGUAUUUAGUCAUGUCCGUAAGCCAGCAGUUCUGUCUACGAUGGAACAAUCAUCAGAGGACCCUGAUUUCAGUGUUCGACAGUCUCCUAGAAAGCGGAACUCUAGUGGAUUGUACCCUGGCUGCCGAGGGACGAUAUCUAAAAGCUCAUAAAGUUGUCCUAUCUGCUUGCAGUCCGUACUUAGGGGUUUUAUUAAGUCAACACCAAGAAAAACAUCCAAUUUUAAUUUUAAAAGACAUAAAAUUUCAAGAAUUAAAAUCCAUGUUAGAUUAUAUGUAUCGGGGCGAAGUAAAUAUAUCUCAAGAAGAACUUGGAACUUUUCUUAAAGCAGCAGAAUCUCUCCAAAUUAAAGGUUUAACAGAAAGUGCGGGCAUUGGAGUUCGAGAAAAUUCUGAUUUUGAAGAUCCUAUUUCAAAACGAUUUGAUCAUAGAAAACAACCUCCUUCUUUAUCUUCUGUUAGUUCUAAUUCACCUACCAUUUGGAGCCAAAAUGAAUCUACCCGAAUAUACUCGAGACCUAGAGAAGGUAGUUUGUCACCUAAUACAAAAAAGAGAAAAAUUCAACGAACAAAUGGUCCUGAUGAUCAUCAUCAAGAUAAUGGCGAUGAUAGCAUGACUGAAUCUGAAUCACAUACCGUUGAAAAAUCACCAACAAAUAAUAACAAUAUACCUUCUUCAGCAAAUAAGAUUAUUAAAAUGGAACCUUACAGAAAAUCAUGUUCACCAGAAAAGGAAUUGAAUAAGAUGACUGAAAAUCAAAUUAUUAAGCCUAAAAUAGAAUCAAUUGCUGGUGACCGACAAGAAUGCUUAACCGAAAUGUCUUAUGAUGACAGUGUAGAUGAUAUGACACUAGAAGAAGAUGAAGAAGAGUAUGAUGAAAAUGAAGUAUCACAACCUGGAACUUCUCAAGGAGAUACAAAUAAUACUGCAAUACCAACAUCAAAUUCAUGGCAAUUAGAAACAAAUAAUCAAGAUAGCACAAACUCUGUAAACACACCUAUGGACUGUAAAGAUUCAGAUGCAUUAUCUGAGAAGUUUGAGUGCAAGUUAUGUGGUAAGGUAUAUCAAUGGAAACAGAGUUUGAAACGACAUAUACGCGAGGACCGUUGUGACAAAGGACCACAGCAUGCGUGCCCACGUUGCGGUAUGAGUUUUAAACACACCAGCCGUCUCAAUAAACAUGUCAUACUAUGUCCACACAUUGUGUUUGAUGACAACACAGCUUCCUCAUCAGCAUCCACAUCAACUUCCUCAACACCUACAGUUCAACGUUUACUUAAAUUACCUGCUCCGUGUCCUGAUGCAUUACCUAUAACAGCAGUUUCUACAUCCACUACUACUACAACAUCUCCAUCCCAAACUAUAUUGGUUUUACACUUAAAAAAUCAAAAUUUAGCCCAAAAUUGGAAAUCAAAUAUCCAAAAGUUAGGAAAUUAAAUUUUUUCUACGCCAAUACUUUGUUGUGGUCAUGAUUUUUCGUAGUUUUAAUAACAUAUUUUAUUUUUUUUUUUUUUUUUUUUCAAAACUGAAAUAGAAAUUUUUUUUUAAACUCUUAAAUUUAAGUAAUAAUGAAUAAAGAAGUAAUAAUUAUUCAUUAGUUUAAUACGGGAAAAAAUUUAAAAAUCUUUUGAUUAAAAAAAUAACUGAUUAAUUUGUUUUAUAUUCCACUUACAACACUAAAAUAAAAAGAUUUUUUUCAAAAUAAUUUGUCAUAUUUUAUCGUCUAUAUCUAGUCAAAUGUGAAAUGAUUUAAACUAGUCUCUUUUAUUUUAUUAAGUGCAAUUCAUUUAAAAUAAUUAUUUCACCACAUUUAUGGUACAACAUUAUAUAUGUUGUUUUAAUUAUACAACUCAAUAAUGUGUUUUUAUUAAUUAUGUUUUAAGAUUUUUCACAGCAAAAGCAUUUGUCGUCUUUGAUUUGGUUCUAGUCAUUAAGCUUUUACACAGUGUGUUUAUUUGUAUGUUUUACUAUCGAAACUUAAGUUAUACGUUUUAUGUAUAUUAAUUAAGGUAUAUUGAUACUUAUUUCAACGUUGUUGAAAACCUACUGGUCAUUUCUAGUCAUAAUAAAAUUAAAUUUGAUUGUAAAAAAACAUUUUUUAGGUUGACUAAAUUUUUUUAGUUUAAUUAUUUUCAAAAAAUGUUGACAGAUAUAUGUCAUAUCAUUUUUGUAGUCUAAUCUUUACUAAAAACAUUUUAAGUAUUUAUAAUUUAUUAAUAUAAAUAAGCGAAGUAUUAAGUUAAAAUUGAGUAAUUUUGAACAUUUUUAACAAUUUUAUUUUUUAACUCUUUAUUAUUUAUUAUCUUGACAAAAUACGCACAAUAGAUUAUAUUUAAUAUAUAACUUUUUAUAUUAUUUAAAUAAUAUUGAAAUCAAACUAUAAAACUCCUGCAUUACCUUAUGUGACAAUUUCUAUGUUUUAAUCAUUUUGUUUUUAAGUCAUGUGUUCAUAAAUAAUAUUUGAAAACUUAAUUCUUUGAGUCAAAGUUAAAUUAAUGAAUAUUUUAGAUGCAUUUAUCAACCUAAAUAAUAACAAUUAAAUUAUCUAUUUUAUAAAAUGAAAUCAUAUUAAUUAAAAUUAAAUAUACUGUAUAAAGUAAAUUAAUUGAUUUUUAAUCUUGUGUUUGUAAUCAUUUUUGUGUAAAAUGAGUAUGCAAUUUUUUUUCUAACAUACUAAUUUGUAUUUACUAUUUUAAUGUUUGUUUGAAGUAUGUAACUUGUGUGCAAUGAAUUAAGAUGUAUAUUUAGUUCUCAAUCAUUUUAGAACUUAAUAGUUCUAUAAGGUGUAAUUAGUCAUUUUUAGCACAAAUUGACUCGUAUGUAUUCAUAAUGUGGAAUUUCAAAAUAAAAUGUGAACAACUAACUAAUUUUUUUCAAACUCUAGUCGUUUGUAGGUAACUACUUAUUAAUUUUGUACUAUUUUUUUUUUCGCUAAUUGUCCUGUUUUAUGUGUACAUAAAUUAUUUGAUAUUUAAUUUAUAUAUAUAUAUAUAUAAAUAUAAUAUGAAUAUAUAAGUAUAUAUUUAUACAAAUUAUAAAUACAUAUAUACAGACAAAUUAUAUUUAAUAUAUUUAGAGUGAGCAAUAUAAGUCAUACAUUUUUAACACUAAAAAAUUUGUACUUUUUUUUAUAAUUUCUCCUGAUUUCAAAUGUUUCAAUUAGGUUCCUGUGUACGAGGUAUUGGUUUAAUGCUUUACUUGCAUUUAUCAAUUAUUUAAUAUUGGUUUUAUUUUAAAACCUUAUAUUAUGUUUCAGGAUAUUGUCGAUCAUUAUGGAUUACUAAGUGCCCAUACUGUCGACUAGUUAUUGCCACUGAAUUAGAAGACCAUUUGGGCUCUUGUAAUGUAUUCACUAAACUCAAAAUAUAUUGUGCAAGGAAAAAUCCAUAAACUAAUAUUUUAUAUAUCUGUUCUAAAAAAUCGAGCAAAUUAAAUAAAUUAUGUAUACGUAGUUUAAAUACAAACCUUGGUUAUGUAAUGUUUGCGGUAAAUGGUACAAACAUAAGGAAUCUCUAAGACGGCAUACUAGAGAUGAAUGUGGGAAAAUGCCCAGGCACGAAUGUAAAAUAUGCAAUAUGUACUUUUAUCAUAGACAUAACUUGAAAACUCAUACAAUUUCAAAACACAACAUUUUAAUAUGAACUAUUGUUUGUAAAUUUGAUUUUUUAAUGCCUAAAAAUAUUUUUGGAAAAUAUGAUCUGGAUGAGAAAUUACUAAUGAAUCUUCGAUUAGAUGAAAAACACACAUGUCCUGAUUGUUUAGACUCAUUCAAAAAUCUACCAGCUUUAAACUUUCAUCGUUCUGAAGUUUGUGGUUUAGAUUUAAAAUAUGAAUGUGUAAAAUGUCAUCGACGAUUUAAACACAAACAUAAUUUAAGAGAUCAUAAAAGUAUUUGUAUAAAACAUAAAAAAGAAGCCAAAGAAAAUGUAAUUAUGUAAAUAAAUAUGGUUUUAAUUAACAAUCAGCUGUAUAAAUGAUGAA